rnacentral:rRNA from 1 species
UACGUAGGGUGCAAGCGUUAAUCGGAAUUACUGGGCGUAAAGCGUGCGCAGGCGGUUGUGCAAGACAGAUGUGAAAUCCCCGGGCUUAACCUGGGAACUGCAUUUGUGACUGCACAGCUGGAGUGCGGCAGAGGGGGAUGGAAUUCCGCGUGUAGCAGUGAAAUGCGUAGAUAUGCGGAGGAACACCGGUGGCGAAGGCGGGUCUCUGGGCAACAACUGACGCUGAGGAGCGAAAGCGUGGGGAGCGAACAGG